rnacentral:tRNA from 3 species
GGCUCGUUCGUCUAGUGGUUAGGACGCCGGAUUUUCAUUCCGGUAACAGGAGUUCGAUUCUCCUACGAGCUACCA